rnacentral:lncRNA from 1 species
UUUUGUUUUCCAGAGUGUUUUUGUGGUUUGGACCUGCACUAACUUCCAUGCUAACGGAGAGGCAGAUGGAGUGAACAAGGCUUCCCCCAGCUGUUCAGCUUGCCUCUCGUGGUCUAGUGCUGGGCAGUUUGGUUGGAGUUUGGGAAUGUGGACAGACUGCCUUCUCCACUCCCAGUUUGCCACUUUAAGAUGCCUGCACAUCUUCAGUGCUUCCUCAGCACACUCAAAGGUUGGAAUUAUAGCAUCUCCGCAAUGAAAUCUCUGUAUAAAGGUUCUUCAUCAGCUCCAUGCUCAGACUGAUGCCAUCCAC